rnacentral:rRNA from 1 species
GAUGAACGCUGGCGGCGUGCCUAAUACAUGCAAGUCGAGCGAACAGACGAGAGUGCUUGCACUCUCUGACGUUAGCGGCGGACGGGUGAGUAACACGUGGGUAACCUACCUAUAAGACUGGGAUAACUUCGGGAAACCGGAGCUAAUACCGGAUAAUAUUUAGCUUCGCAUGAAGCAAUAGUGAAAGACGGUUCUGCUGUCACUUAUAGAUGGACCCGCGGUGUAUUAGCUGGUUGGUGAGGUAACGGCUCACCAAGGCAACGAUACAUAGCCGACCUGAGAGGGUGAUCGGCCACACUGGGACGGAGACACGGCCCAGACUCCUACGGGAGGCAGCAGUAGGGAAUCUUCCGCAAUGGACGAAAGUCUGACGGAGCAAUGCCGCGUGAGUGAAGAAGGUGUUCGGAUCGUAAAACUCUGUUGUAAGGGAAGAACAAGUACGUUAGUAACUGAACGUACCUUGACGGUACCUGACCAGAAAGCCACGGCUAGCUACGUG